rnacentral:rRNA from 1 species
CCUGGUUGAUUCUGCCAGUAGUCAUAUGCUUGUCUCAAAGAUUAAGCCAUGCAUGUCUAAGUAUAAGCAACUUUGUACUGUGAAACUGCGAAUGGCUCAUUAAAUCAGUUAUAGUUUAUUUGAUGGUUUUUGCUACAUGGAUAACUGUGGUAAUUCUAGAGCUAAUACAUGCAUUCAAGCCCCGACUUCUGGAAGGGGUGUAUUUAUUAGAUAAAAAUCAACUUUGUUGGUGAAUCAUAAUAACUUCUCGGACCGCAUGGCCUUGUGCUGGCGGUGCUUCAUUCAAAUAUCUGCCCUAUCAACUGUCGAUGGUAGGAUAGAGGCCUACCAUGGUUGCAACGGGUAACGGGGAAUAAGGGUUCGAUUCCGGAGAGGGAGCCUGAGAAACGGCUACCACAUCCAAGGAAGGCAGCAGGCGCGCAAAUUACCCAAUCCCGACACGGGGAGGUAGUGACAAUAUGUAACAAUAUACGGCCUUAUACGUCGUAUAAUUGGAAUGAGUACAAUUUAAAUCCCUUAACGAGGAACAAUUGGAGGGCAAGUCUGGUGCCAGCAGCCGCGGUAAUUCCAGCUCCAAUAGCGUAUAUUAAAGUUGUUGCAGUUAAAAAGCUCGUAGUUGGACCUUGGACCUGGACAGGCGGUCCGCCUCACGGCGAGUACUGUCUUGCUGGGUCUUUCCUCUUGGUGAUCUGUUGUUUCGGCAGCAGGGAACCAGGACCUUUACUUUGAAAAAUUAGAGUGUUCAAAGCAGCUCGACGCCGGAAUAUAUUAGCAUGGAAUAAUAAAUAGGACGUGCGGUUCUAUUUUGUUGGUUUUUGGAAUCGCCCGUAUGAUUAAUAGGGACAGUCGGGGGCAUAGUACUCACAUGCU